rnacentral:rRNA from 1 species
GACGAACGCUGGCGGCGUGCUUAACACAUGCAAGUCGAACGGAAAGGCCCUGCUUUUGUGGGGUGCUCGAGUGGCGAACGGGUGAGUAACACGUGAGUAACCUGCCCUUGAGUUUGGGAUAACUUAAGGAAACUGGGGCUAAACCCGGAUAGGAGCUCCUGCUGCAUGGUGGGGGUUGGAAAGUUUCGGUGGUUGGGGAUGGACUCGCGGCUGAUCAGCUUGUUGGUGGGGUAGUGGCUUACCAAGGCUUUGACGGGUAGCCGGCCUGAGAGGGUGACCGGCCACAUUGGGACUGGGAUACGGCCCAGACUCCUACGGGAGGCAGCAGUGGGGAAUAUUGCACAAUGGGAGGAAGCCUGAUGCAGCGACGCCGCGUGCGGGAUGACGGCCUUCGGGUUGUAAACCGCUUUCGCCUGUGACGAAGCGUGAGUGACGGUAAUGGGUGAAGAAGCACCGGCUAACUACGUG